GAGAAAGCAAGACAGACUGUAUGGGGGAGAGGCGUAAUGAGAGUUUUAAAAUGAUUGGAGUCUGCACGACAUUAAGACUAAUUAGUCUUGUGUGAAUGUAUAUUGUCUGUAGGCGUAGCCGACGAUUGAUGCGUCUAUAAUUGCAACACGUGAGCCCAUCUGGUUAGAAUUUGCCACAAUCAAAUGAGUACGUGCCAAUUUCUCUUUCAGCACCGAGUGACAUCGAUGACGGAUCCGCUGUCACCCUCCCCGGUCACGAAUACCACAUGCUUCCUGUGGUCCCGGCCUCUUAGAGAAGCAGGAAGGACUUUUUGUGGGGUGGAUCCACAUUUUCAUCACAGAAUAACCAAAGGGACCUGAAACGGUGUGGUCAGGAUGCGUAUUCCUUGCCCCAUAGGCCUACCUGUGUUAUCAACGUGGUGCUGAACGCAACUGUAAAGG